AGACAGACUAUGAAGAGAUACAUAGGGUGAGAAACGGAGGCCUUCAGCCAACAGCUGGGAGAAGCUGAGUCCCAUCAGCCAUUCAAAAGACUGCAGCCCCAGCCAAGAGUUUGAUGUAACCUCAGGAGAGACCCUGAGCCAGAACCACCUAGAAAAGCUGGGAUACAUGAAGACUGCCAUCCCUUGAGUCACUUGCCCUGUAGCUGCCACUGUUGGAAAAGGGCUUGCUUCUGUGUCCUUGUGCCCACUUUGAAAAUCCCUGGGAAGUCCUUGGAGUCAGAUGAGCAGGCCUCCGCCACUCUGCCAAAAAGUCUGUUCACAGGAAGUUUCACAUCACUAGAGAAGAGAGAAGAAGGACAUUUGUACUGGGAGGAGUCGACCGGUCCCAGUAAGGAGAAAGUAGCUACAGCGUCAUGGGUGAGCUGGGUCCCCCAAAAAGGAACUUUAAGGGAAUGGACUGAAUCAAGUCUGAGAUGUCCCCAAAGCAAGACCAAAGAACUGAGGAAGAGAAGCAUUCAUCAGAAACCAAAAUUCAGCUACAAGUGAGCAUCCAGAUGGAGGUAUUAUGAAGAGGAACUGAGACUGAGGGCAAAAGGUGCCAGCCAGAAUCCUGGAUAGGAGAGCAAGAACCAGGACCUCAUUUAAGAGACAACCUGCUUAAGGCAGAGUAAGCACAAAUGGGCACUCAACAUCAAUGAAGUAACAGCAAAGUCACAUAAUAAAAGCAUGGAAUUAAGACAAGCUGAAGAUUCGGAUGCAAUAAAACAACCACCCAUU
rnacentral:lncRNA from 1 species